rnacentral:rRNA from 1 species
GAUGAACGCUGGUGGCGUGCCUAAUACAUGCAAGUCGAGCGAACAGACGAGGAGCUUGCUCCUCUGACGUUAGCGGCGGACGGGUGAGUAACACGUGGAUAACCUACCUAUAAGACUGGGAUAACUUCGGGAAACCGGAGCUAAUACCGGAUAAUAUAUUGAACCGCAUGGUUCAAUAGUGAAAGACGGUUUUGCUGUCACUUAUAGAUGGAUCCGCGCCGCAUUAGCUAGUUGGUAAGGUAACGGCUUACCAAGGCAACGAUGCGUAGCCGACCUGAGAGGGUGGUCGGCCACCCUGGCACUGAGACACGGUCCAGACUCCUACGGGAGGCAGCAGUAGGGAAUCUUCCGCAAUGGGCGAGUGCCUGACGGAGCAACGCCGCGUGAAUGAUGAAGGUCUUCGGAUCGUAAAACGCUGUUAUUAGGGAAGAACAAAUGUGUAAGUAACUGUGCACGUCUUGACGGUACCUAAUCAAAAAGCCACGGCUAACUACGUG